CCCUGGGUGGUGCAAACAGCAUACUCAGCUGCUAACUGAAAGGCUGCUGGUUCAAGUCCACCCCGAGGUG
rnacentral:tRNA from 1 species